GACGAACGCUGGCGGCGUGCUUAACACAUGCAAGUCGAACGGAGUGGCGAACGGGUGAGUAACACGUGGGUGAUCUGCCUUGCACUUCGGGAUAAGCUUGGGAAACUGGGUCUAAUACCGGAUAGUGCAAGAUGAGCUCGCGGCCUAUCAGCUCGUUGGUGGGGUAAUGGCCUACCACGGCGUCGACGGGUAGCCGGCCUGAGAGGGUGUACGGCCAAGUUGGGACUGAGAUACGGACCAGACUGCUACGGGAGGCAGCAGUGGGGAAAAUUGCACAAUGGGCGGAAGCGUGAUGCAGCGACGGCGAGUGGGGGAUGAAGGCCUUCGGGUUGUAAACUCCUUUCGGCAGGGACACGGUACCUGUAUGAGAAGCACCGGCUAACUACGUGCCAGCAGCCGGGGUGAUAC
rnacentral:rRNA from 1 species